rnacentral:rRNA from 1 species
AUUGAACGCUGGCGGCAUGCCUUACACAUGCAAGUCGAACGGCAGCACGGGUGCUUGCACCUGGUGGCGAGUGGCGAACGGGUGAGUAAUACAUCGGAACAUGUCCUGUAGUGGGGGAUAGCCCGGCGAAAGCCGGAUUAAUACCGCAUACGAUCUACGGAUGAAAGCGGGGGUCCUUCGGGCCUCGCGCUAUAGGGUUGGCCGAUGGCUGAUUAGCUAGUUGGUGGGGUAAAGGCCUACCAAGGCGACGAUCAGUAGCUGGUCUGAGAGGACGACCAGCCACACUGGGACUGAGACACGGCCCAGACUCCUACGGGGGGCAGCAGUGGGGAAUUUUGGACAAUGGGCGAAAGCCUGAUCCAGCAAUGCCGCGUGUGUGAAGAAGGCCUUCGGGUUGUAAAGCACUUUUGUCCGGAAAGAAAUCCUUGGCCCUAAUACGGUCGGGGGAUGACGGUACCGGAAGAAUAAGCACCGGCUAACUACGUG